AUCCAGCUCACGAGUCCCAAAUAGGACGAAACGCAUGUCCUGGAU
rnacentral:hammerhead_ribozyme from 1 species